CCCUAUGUAAGGAUGUAGAAACCUCUCCUUAGCAGGCGCGUUUUAAAAACCUCGAGGGGAAGUCAGAAAGGAAAAGCUUCUGCUAGCGUUGAGCUUAGGACGUUACAGAUAGACCGAUAGAAGGGAUAAAGAUAGACAUAGAAAUUGGAUUCAUACAGUUCUAUACACGGCUGACUCAAGUGGAUUACGGAACUUUUUCCAUUACAUGUUUUAGAACCUGGAUUACUGAUUUAUGUUUCUAGUUAAUCAUCUCAAGACACUCACUGCUAAUUGCGAUAUUAUAAUUUGAAUUUAAUGCCAUUUUUGAUAAGCCUCUAGCGAUUAGAUCCUUUACAGAAGGCUUUUUCUUCUCUUGGAAGCUUUCAUUGUAAGUUCUUUGUUUUCUUAGUGUAUAGAGUGACUGCAUUGUUGGAACUUUGACAGAAACCCGUUUCUUCUCUUUUUACUUGCCCUUUGUUAUCAUUGCCUGAUUCCUACCUUAGUGUCUUCAUAUUUUAUGCAUUUUUUAUGAUCAUCCUCUGAAACAUAUUUUUCGUUCUCGGUAAACUUAAUGUCGAAACAAUUCUUUAUUGACAAUACCCCUGAGAUUACAUACCAAAAGCAUUUAGAAUCAUGUCUAUAUGGACACAGAGAAAGAAAAAAUAGUGCCAGCACAAUGACAACAACAUAUACAUACAAACCAUCAAAAUCCAAUCAUACUGAUCGAUGAGAAAGCAGGAAGAUCUGGUAUCUAAUGCCAGAGAAGUGCAAGGAGGCUGAUGAAAAUCGAUAGCAGAACCCCACCACCGGAAAAUGUCACCUGAAAUCCAGUCCCAGCAUCCAUGGCAGGCAACGGUGCAAGUCCUCCACUGUCUUGAGCUCUUGCCACAGCAAGCAGAAGCACCAUGGUCGCCAUGAACCACCUCAUCGCCGCUUGGAUGCUGAAUCCAGCCAUUGUUAGACGCACAGAAAACUUGAAAAGAACGAGAGGGGAGGAAGAAUCAAAUUCAAGAUGGCGUACAGCUCCUUUUGAAGAUGACAUAUCAGCUUACUUCGCUGCUCACAGGGCCAUGUAAUGCCUCUCCCGCAGCUAACUUGAGUAACUUUGUGGUACAAGAACAUCACUACUUAAUAGCUCGUUCGCCAAGUCGGAACUCCCACUUUCUUGUCUAUGACGGCUCUCUUCGAUGCUAGCAACCGCGUUUGACCCUUUUCCGUGCUUCUUUCAAUUUCCUUACAUUCUAGCUUCAAAAGAGACUUGACCUUUACUUAAAGAGAGGUUGCGGUACCACACUCUUCCGUGCUCGUAGGUCGACUUCCCCCACUAAUCAAAGAGCUAAUUUUGAAGAGAUUCUUCAUUGAUCCCGCAUACGGCUCAAGUGGCGAACGCCCUUUCCUUCUAUUACUUUCAAAGAUAUCAUUGAAUGUGAAUAGAAUCUCUGUCUGCCCUCUUAUUUGGUUUGCAGCUGCAAGUUCAACCGUAUCUCAAUCCUAGAACCUUGCAUGAGCCAACCCCAACUUUGCCAAAAUACACUUCAGUAGUUUCCCAUGACAAAUAGUGGUUGGAAAUAGAUUUGGAAGGGUAUUAUAUAGUACUAAGCUUUCUUUAAGUUUAGCUUAGGUUUGGUUCGAGUAUCUUCGGUAGCAUAUAGUUAUAAAAUUUUGACCUUAAUGGCUACCCGCUGAGUUUUAUUAAAUGUCAUAUUUAGUUCCAUUCUUACAUCGAUCGAACAUUUGAAGAUAUUGAUUUAAUUUAUAAGGUCGUUACUAUG